rnacentral:lncRNA from 10 species
UUUCUUUCUUUCUUUCUUUCUUUCUUUCAUCUUUCUUUCUUUCUUUCUUUCUUUCUUUCUUUCUUUCUUUCUUUCUUUUUCUUCUUUCUUUCUUUUCUUCCUUUCCUUCUUUCUUCCUUUCUUCCUUUUUCUUCUUUCCUUUUCUUUUUUUCUUUCUUUCUCUCUCUCCUUCCUUCCUUCCAUCAUCCUUCCCUUUCUUUCUUCCUUCUUUCCUUCCUUUCUUCCUUUCUUCUUUCCUUCCUCCUCCUCCUCUUCCUCCUCCUCCUCUUCCUCCUCCUCCUCCUUCUUCUUCUUCUUCUUCCUCUCCUCCUCUUUCUUUCCUUCCUUCUUCCCUCCCUCCCUCUCUGUCUUUUCUUUUCUUUUCUUCUUUCUUUCUUUUCUUUCUUUCUUCUUCUCUUCCUUCCCUCUCCUUCCCAUCCUCCCUCACUACUUUGCAGCUUGACUUGAAGCCUUUUGGCUUGCAGAAGACUGCUUUCGGCAUCGUGUAACACAGGUGGGAUUUGAAAAUUGGAACACAACUAUGAGGUAUGAAACAUUUUUCCCCCUCAAAAGAGGAACUUAUAUCCUUUGAUGUGAAAAACUGUGAGCCUCAUUACAUGUUAACUUAAUACUCAAGAUGUCAAGAUGUUCCAGAUGGCAUUAGGACACUACUUUCCCAGCUACAGAAUGCUUUUUUUGGAGAAGUGAAUAUGAGCAAAAAAUAACUUUGGAUUAAUGCAAACAUUCUCCCUCUGUCGCCCAGGCUGGAAUUACAGUGGCGUGAUCUUGGCACUGCAACCUCUACUUCCUGGUUUCAAGCGAUUCUCCUGCUUCAGCCUCCUGAAUGUCUGGAAUUACAGGCAUCCACCACCACCCCUGGCUAAUUUUUGUGUUUUUAGUGGAGAUGAGGUUUCACCUUGUUGUCCAGGCUGGUCUGGAACUCCCGACCUCAGGUGAUCUGCCCGCCUCGGCCUCCCAAAGUGCUGGGAUUACAGGCGUGAGCCACCGCACCCUACCAAAAUGUUUUAUUUUAUUAUAAAUUUACAUAAAUCAGCAAAUUAAUGAUAAGAAUUUUUUGGUAUCAAUUUAUGUAUGGUACAUUUCCUUCUUUCAAGGGCUAGAGGUUGUUUUGCUAAAAAUAUGUGACCAAGGUUAAAAUUAUUUCAAAAUUAGGAUGGAUAAUAAAAUAAUGAUGUCUUUAUUGUUUUAUUAGGAGGUCUACUCUUGCUCUAAAAGGAUUCUGAAAAAUAUGUGUUGUGUUGUUUUGUUUUAUUUUCCAGGUUUGUGUACGUGUGCAUGCAUGUGUGUGGGAAGCCUUGGAGAUUAGGGUUGCAAUGUGUCUGCUCAGCUAUAUUGAUCUCUUUAUUAAACUAUGUUGUUUCUCCAACUUGCCUCCAGUCUCUUCAUGACUUUUAUAUCAAGCACAGAAUUUAAAUGUGCAUUUCUGUGUUGAAAUUUUAAUAUGCAAUGAUAUUGUAGUUGAUUCAGCCAUAGGGAAUGCAUAAAACGACAUGAAAAUUAUAUGAUCACAGAGGCAGAACCAAACCCUUAGGAGAGACAAUUGUUUUUGAAAGGUUAGCAAUGUUUGUUCAUUUUUAUCUUCAGAUUCAUAAUAUGCAAAGUUCUCCUAUUGUUUCUCAAGAAAUAAAUAACUUUUAUAGUGUAAUAUUUACAUUCAACUUUCUUAAGCUUAAAAUGAUAUCAGUUCUGUCAUGGUGAUACUAUUCUUCUUGGUUCUUGGUAGGGUUGGUGAAAUAAAAGUGACUCAUUUCAUUACAGUUUUGGUUUCCUUUGUUUUGUGAAUAGGCACUCUCCUUUAGUUAUUUAUUUAGAAAAACUAUGUAUUUUUCAAAACGGUAAUGUGCUGAUGGUGUAAAAACAUUUGUAAAUAAGCAAAGAUGAAAAAUAGCAUGUAAUUUAUAAGGGGUAUAUUUUCAGAAAUUCUAUUAUCAUGAUAUCUGGUAGAAGUUUAAGUUUAUACAUAGCUGUGAUUAAUCAGCUAUGUAUACAACCACUUAAGCAAUGGAUAUAUGUAGCAUCUUGUUAAUAAAGAUGAAAUAACUGAUGAAUAUACUAGGCUAAAGAGCCUUUCAGCUCUGGUUCUGAUAUGCUGUAUCCAGAUAUGACUAAUAUCAUAUAAUGGAAGAGACAGUCCUAGUAAAUUCUGUGCAUCUAUACAAAAGCCUUUUUAAAUUUCACCCACCCUUGUCCCACCAGAUUUUAAAGUGCACAACAUAUAAAGGUAUGUUUGGCAAUUACCCCAAAUACUUAGCUAUUUUUGCAGAGAUGCUUCUGCUCUGAUCUAGUUCCUAAAUGUUUUUGAUGCUUGCAUCUAUUUUUAAUCUGAAAUUCCUCUUCUACACUUUGUUCUUUUGUUCCUACUUUUUCUUCUCUCCUUGUUCCUUUUCAAAGAUUUUGGCUACAAUUCAAUAAAACAGUGCCACAGAUUUUAUUCACUCUGAUGAGGAAUCUCUGCCCUACCUAGAGUUUUAGGACCUAAUUCUACCCAGCCAUGGCCAAUAUUUGAAUAAUAUUAUGUAUUAAAAUAAAUAUGGAAAGAAAGCUUUUCUUAAAUAAAUCAUUCCCCUGACACAUAUUGGUGUGUUAGCUCUCUGUAUAAGAUACAUAUGUAUUCCUCUGUAGAGAUGUACAGUUGUCCUACUUUUACUAGAUUAUAAUUUUUAUGCAGGCAGAGAUUUUUGUGAAUUUUGUUUAUUGAUUUAUCCCAAACAUCUAACAUAGUUUCUGGCUUAUAUACCAGAUACUCAAUAAAUAUUUAUCAAAUGAUUCCAUGUUAUAUUAAGCACACAUCUGUUCAUAAUUUUCUGUAUAUAUUUUAUCUCUAUGUAAAUACUGAAGAGUGCAUACGCGGAAUUGUGAAUAAACCAGAUAGUUCCCCCCAAAAAAGGCAAGAGUGUAAAAAUCAAAAGACCUACACAUAUAGUCUAAAACCAUAGCCAGAUAUAAAUAUCUAUAUAUUGCAUCAUGAUGGAUUAACCAAGAGUUCUGAGGAACUCUAAUUGCAUGGACUUAACCCCAC